UGAAGUGACUAGUUAAGGAAAAUAUAUUUUUUGCAAUUUUUUAGUUUAUCAGUUUGGCUUACUGUUUAUGCGUGAAGACACUAAACAGAAUAAGCAUUAGCACCAAAAUGUUGACGUUCUUAAUUAUUACACAGAUUGAAAAGUCAAAAUAAUAUGUGCAUAGUUUGUGUACGGGUAUUGGGUACAGGACCUGGAAACGAGAGUGGUGUCGUGAAAAGAAAGAUGUCGGAAGAAGGUACGGGAAUGUUACUUUACUUUCGAAUCUCAGUUUUUUACCUUUAAUCACACGUAUAAACCACUAUAUGUUUGACGUCACAUUCUAUAUACGUUUUGUAUAAGGCACUAGUGCUGCAUCAAAUUCCACAUACAGUAACCCUUUCUCUAUCAAGAUGUCCACAUGUUCUCCUACUAAAAGUUCAGCAGAUAGUACUGAUUCACAAGUUUGCUAAGAUAUUGCUCAUGUAAUAAAUCAAACAUAGU